UACGAAGGGGGCUAGCGUUGCUCGGAAUCACUGGGCGUAAAGGGUGCGUAGGCGGGUCUUUAAGUCAGGGGUGAAAUCCUGGAGCUCAACUCCAGAACUGCCUUUGAUACUGAAGAUCUUGAGUUCGGGAGAGGUGAGUGGAACUGCGAGUGUAGAGAUGAAAUUCGUAGAUAUUCGCAAGAACACCAGUGGCGAAGGCGGCUCACUGGCCCGGUACUGACGCUGAGGUGCGAAAGCGUGGGGAGCAAACAGG
rnacentral:rRNA from 1 species